rnacentral:rRNA from 1 species
ACGGAGGGUGCAAGCGUUGUCCGGAUUUAUUGGGUUUAAAGGGUGCGUAGGCGGGCCUUUAAGUCAGUGGUGAAAGCCGACAGCUUAACUGUCGAAAUGCCAUUGAUACUGGGGGUCUUGAGUACAGUAGAGGUAGGCGGAAUUAAUGGUGUAGCGGUGAAAUGCAUAGAUACCAUUAAGAACACCGAUUGCGAAGGCAGCUUACUAUAGUGUAACUGACGCUGAGGCACGAAAGUGUGGGGAUCAAACAGGA